rnacentral:rRNA from 1 species
GUGGGGAAUCUUGCGCAAUGGGCGAAAGCCUGACGCAGCCAUGACGCGUGAAUGAUGAAGGUCUUAGGAUUGUAAAAUUCUUUCACCGGGGACGAUAAUGACGGUACCCGGAGAAGAAGCCCGGCUAACUUCGUGCCAGCAGCCGCGGUAAUACGAAGGGGGCUAGCGUUGCUCGGAAUUACUGGGCGUAAAGGGCGCGUUGGCGGAUCGUUAAGUCAGGGGUGAAAUCACAGAGCUCAACUAUGGAACUGCCGUUGAUACUGGCGAGCUUCAGUGUGAGAGAGGUAUGUGGAACUCCGAGUGUAGAGGUGAAAUUCGUAGAUAUUCGGAAGAACACCAGUGGCGAAGGCGACAUACUGGCUCAUUACUGACGCUGAGGCGCGAAAGCGUGGGUAGCAAACAAGAUUAGAAACCCUUGUAGUCC